UACAGAGGUCCCAAGCGUUGUUCGGAUUCACUGGGCGUAAAGGGUGCGUAGGCGGCCCUGUAAGUCCGUGCUGAAAUAUCCCAGCUUAACUGGGAGGGUGGCAUUGAUACUGCGGGGCUAGAGUACAGAUGAGGUAGGCGGAAUUGACGGUGUAGCGGUGAAAUUCGUAGAUAUCGGAAGGAACACCAGCGGCGAAGGCGGCCAUCUGGACGGUGACUGACGCUCAGACGCGAAAGCGUGGGGAGCAAACAGG
rnacentral:rRNA from 1 species